GAUGAAGACGUAGCGAAAUGCGAUAAGUAAUGUGAAUUGCAGAAUUCAGUGAAUCAUCGAAUCUUUGAACGCACAUUGCGCCCGCCAGUAUUCUGGCGGGCAUGCCUGUUCGAGCGUCAUUUCAACCAUCAAGCCCCCGGCUUGUGUUGGGGACCUGCGGCUGCCGCAGGCCCUGAAAAGCAGUGGCGGGCUCGCUGUCACACCGAGCGUAGUAGAUUUCAUCUCGCUCAGGGCGUGCUGCGGGUUCCGGCCGUUAAACCACCUUCAUAACCCAAGGUUGACCUCGGAUCAGGUAGGAAGACCCGCUGAACUUAAGCAUAUCAAUAAGCGGAGGA
rnacentral:misc_RNA from 1 species